UACGAAGGUGGCAAGCGUUGUUCGGAAUCACUGGGCAUAAAGCGCGUGUAGGCGGCUUCGCAAGUCGGGUGUGAAAUCCCUCGGCUCAACCGAGGAACUGCGCCCGAAACUGCAUUGCUUGAGGCCUGGAGGGAGAGUGGAAUUCCCGGUGGAGCGGUGAAAUGCGUAGAUAUCGGGAGGAACGCCGGUGGCGAAAGCGACUCUCUGGACAGGUUCUGACGCUGAGACGCGAAAGCUAGGGAGCAAACGGG
rnacentral:rRNA from 1 species